GGAUGUGAGGGCGAUCUGGCUGUGGUAUCUGUCACCCCAAUGAUUACCAGGGUUGACCCAGUUGAUCUAGCUGGCUAGGCAGGUGUCCCCUUCCUCCCUCAACGAUCCAUGUGAGUUCCUCCCAAAGCUGCGCGCUCAGUUGAAGAGGACAAACACUUGAUAAAGGAGGACCAUUCCUCAGUCAAGGGUAUAUGAGUAGUUGUGCUCCCUUUCUAGAGAUCUUCAAACAAGCUCUCACACUCACUCUCUGACUUUUCUCCUACCAUCAUAGGUUCAACAUUACAUGGCAAAAGGGACUUCAUG
ensembl:misc_RNA 7SK 7SK RNA